rnacentral:rRNA from 1 species
AUACGGAGGAUCCGAGCGUUAUCCGGAUUUAUUGGGUUUAAAGGGUGCGCAGGUGGCCAUUUAAGUCAGCGGUUAAAUCGUGGGGCUCAACCCCAUUCUGCCGUUGAUACUGGGUGGCUUGAUUGCGGUCGAGGUUGGCGGAAUUCGUUGUGUAGCGGUGAAAUGCAUAGAUAUGACGAAGAACACCGAUUGCGUAGGCAGCUGACCAGACCGCAAAUGACGCUCAUGCACGAAAGUGCGGGGAUCGAACAGGAUUAGAUACCCUGGUAGUCCGCACAGUAAACGAUGAAUACUUGUUUUCGGCGAUAUAAUGUCGGAGGCAAAGCGAAAGCGAUAAGUAUUCCACCUGGGGAGUACGCCGGCAACGGUGAAACUCAAAUGAAUCGGCGGGG